rnacentral:rRNA from 1 species
GAAUGUAUGAGAAUACUACUUGGAUAACCGUAGUAAUUCUAGAGCUAAUACAUGCGACGACGCCCGACCGUUUCACUACGGAAGGGCUGUAUUUAUUGGAUACCAAAACCAUCCUUCCCUCGGGAAGUUUUGUUUGAUGAUUCACAAUAACUGAUCGGAUCGCCACUGUGGUGGCGACAGGUCAUUCAACAUUCUGCCCUAUCAGCUUUCGAUGGUUGUGUAGUGGACAACCAUGGCCAUAACGGGUAACGGAGAAUCAGGGUUCGAUUCCGGAGAAGGAGCUUGAGAAUUGGCUACUACAUCUAAGGAAGGCAGCAGGCGCGCAAAUUACCCAAUCCCGAUUCGGGGAGGUAGUGACAAAAAAUAACAAUACCGGGCCUUCUUGGGCUUGGUAAUUGGAAUGAGGGAGAGUUAAACGUACCAUCGAGUAUCCAUUGGAGGGCAAGUCUGGUGCCAGCAGCUGCGGUAAUACCAGCUCCAAUAGCGUAUAUUAAAGUUGUUGCAGUUAAAAAGCUCGUAGUUGGACUUGUGUGCGCUGUCCGCGGGUGGCCCGCGCCCAAAAGGGCGUUUCGGUUCGGCCCCGGUGGCGCCUUGAAAUCUGCAGCUGGGGGGACGUUGGCCUUAACUGGUCGGCGACCGCACGCCGGCUGCUCGGUUACUGUGAGAAAAUUAGAGUGUUCAAGGCAGGCAUUGGGUGCAAUUGAAUACAUUAGCAUGGAAUAAUAAUAUAUGGCUCCUGCCGUAUUUUGUUGGUUUUGACUGGUGGGAGUAAUGAUUGAUAGGGACGGUUGGGGGUGCUAGUAUUGAGCGGCCAGAGGUGAAAUUCAUGGAUUCGCUCAAGACUAACUUAUGCGAAAGCAUUCACCAAGGAUGUCCUCUUUAAUCAAGAACGAAAGUUGGGGGAUCGAAGACGAUCAGAUACCGUCGUAGUCUCAACCAUAGACUAUGUCGACUUGGGAUCGGCGGUAGUUUUUUCAUUAAGACACUGUCGGGACCACGGGAGAAAUCAAAGUGUCUGGACUCUGGGGGAAGUAUGGUCGCAAGGCUGAAACUUGAAGGAAUUGACGGAAGGGCACCACCAGGAGUGGAGCCUGCGGCUUAAUUUGACGCAACACGGGGAAACUUACCAGGUCCAGAGAUGUAGAGGAUUGACAGAUUGAAGCUCUUUCUUGAUCACUUCGGUGGUGGUGCAUGGCCGUUCUUAGUUGGUGGAGUGAUUUGUCUGGUUAAUUCCGUUAACGAACGAGACCUCAGCCUGCUAGUGUAGUCGGCUGGAUUGCCUUUGGCGAUCCGUGAUUUCGACUUCUUAGAGGGACAAUCGACGCGCAGUCGAUGGAAGUUUGAGGC